AAUUCCUGCUGAUAAUUAACCCGCACAACAGCAACAGCAACGGCAGCCAUUUCAGCAGAAAACACAACGGGCCGGGUAUCAAGUGAGAGGAAGGAUGACUGAUCGUCAGUUUGAUAGGCCACCCGUGACGUAUGCCUUUCUGUUGAAGAAGUUGAACAAUCUUGGGUUGGUUCAGUUGAGGACGUUGGCUCCGAUAAGACCAGAUCAGAGGCCUGCAAGCUAUGAUGAGAAUGCCAAGUGCGAGUUCCAUUCUGG
rnacentral:lncRNA from 1 species